GCGGAGAGGGGGUCAGUACUCCAAAUAUUUCCUCAUUAAAAUUUUAGCCUUUUUGUGCAGAGCACCAUUGAUUUCUCAUCAUUGACCUAAUUUUAUCCUUAAUUUAAUCCCAAUCACGAAUGCCCCCUGCUUAAUACUUUACUUGGUGGUCUUUUAAUAAAAAGUGC